rnacentral:rRNA from 1 species
AGUUUGAUCCUGGCUCAGGACGAACGCUGGCGGCGUGCCUAAUACAUGCAAGUCGAACGCUUCUUUUUCCACCGGAGCUUGCUCCACCGGAAAAAGAGGAGUGGCGAACGGGUGAGUAACACGUGGGUAACCUGCCCAUCAGAAGGGGAUAACACUUGGAAACAGGUGCUAAUACCGUAUAACAAUCRAAACCGCAUGGUUUUGAUUUGAAAGGCGCUUUCGGGUGUCGCUGAUGGAUGGACCCGCGGUGCAUUAGCUAGUUGGUGAGGUAACGGCUCACCAAGGCCACGAUGCAUAGCCGACCUGAGAGGGUGAUCGGCCACAUUGGGACUGAGACACGGCCCAAACUCCUACGGGAGGCAGCAGUAGGGAAUCUUCGGCAAUGGACGAAAGUCUGACCGAGCAACGCCGCGUGAGUGAAGAAGGUUUUCGGAUCGUAAAACUCUGUUGUUAGAGAAGAACAAGGAUGAGAGUAACUGUUCAUCCCUUGACGGUAUCUAACCAGAAAGCCACGGCUAACUACGUGCCAGCAGCCGCGGUAAUACGUAGGUGGCAAGCGUUGUCCGGAUUUAUUGGGCGUAAAGCGAGCGCAGGCGGUUUCUUAAGUCUGAUGUGAAAGCCCCCGGCUCAACCGGGGAGGGUCAUUGGAAACUGGGAGACUUGAGUGCAGAAGAGGAGAGUGGAAUUCCAUGUGUAGCGGUGAAAUGCGUAGAUAUAUGGAGGAACACCAGUGGCGAAGGCGGCUCUCUGGUCUGUAACUGACGCUGAGGCUCGAAAGCGUGGGGAGCAAACAGGAUUAGAUACCCUGGUAGUCC